AUGCUGCUCCUGCAGGAGCCUUACCUAAUUCCUACACUGCCGCAGCAGUUCCCGCUCCUGCAGGUGCUCUUCCAUAGUUUCCCCAGUCCUUGCUUCCACAGGAGCUUUUCCAUUUUCCCCACUGCCACUGCAGCUCCGUCAGGAGCCUUACCUAAUUCCCACACAGUUCCUGCUCCCGCAGGAGCCUUUUCUCCAUUUCCCCACUGCAGCAGUUCCCGCUCCUGCAGGAGCUUUUCUCCAUUUUCCCACUGUCGCAGCAGUUCCUGCUCCCGCAGGAGCUCUUCCAUAUUUUCCUACUGCCGCAGCAGUGCCCGCUCCCACAGGAGCUCUUCCAUAUUUCCCCACUGCCACAGCAGUGCCCACUCCCGUGGGAGCCUUUCCGUAUUUCCCCACUGCCGCAGCAGUGUCAGCUCCCGCAGGAGCCUUUCUGUAUUUCCUCACUGCUGCAGCAGUGUCUGCUCCCGCAGGAGCCUUUUUUCUGUAUUUUUUCACUGCCGCAGCAGUAUCCACUCCCACAGGAGCCUUUCCUGUCUUUCCCUACUGCCGCAGCAGUGCCCUCUCCCGCAGGAGCCUUUCCUGUCUUUCCCUACUGCCACAGCAAUUCCCGCUCCUGCAGGAGCCUUGCCUAAAUUCCCUCACUGCCACAGCAGUGCCUGCUCCAGCAGGAGCCUUCAUCUUUAUUUGAAUCUGAAGCAGUGCUUGCUUCCGCAGAUGGCAUUUUUUCUUUUCAGAUGCCACAGCAACGGCGGCUUCCGCAGAAGCCAAUUUCUCUUUUCAGAUGCCGUAGCAGUUCCCACAGUAGUUUUCUUUUCAGAUGCUGCAGCAGUAUCUGCUCCCGCAGGAGCUCUUCCAUAUUUCCGCACUGCUGCAGCAGUUCCCACUCCCGCAGGAGCCUUUUCCAUGUUUCCCUACUGCCGUAGCAGUGCCUGCUCCCACAGGACCUCUUCCAUAUUUCCCCACUGCCGCAGCAGUGUCAGCUCCCGCAGGAGCCUUUUCUAUCUUCCCUACUGCCGCAAUAAUCGCAUCUCCAGCAGGAGUUGUCAUCUCUCUCUUUCAAGUGAACGCUUAACGCAUAACCUUUAUUUAAUUAUAAGUAAAUGUGAACUUGUGAAGUGA
ensembl:lncRNA